rnacentral:rRNA from 1 species
CCUACGGGAGGCAGCAGUAGGGAAUCUUCCGCAAUGGACGCAAGUCUGACGGAGCAACGCCGCGUGAGUGACGAAGGUUUUCGGAUCGUAAAACUCUGUUGUGAGGGAAGAACACGUACCAACUAACUAUUGGUACCUUGACGGUACCUCACCAGAAAGCCACGGCUAACUACGUGCCAGCAGCCGCGGUAAUACGUAGGUGGCAAGCGUUGUCCGGAAUUAUUGGGCGUAAAGCGCGCGCAGGCGGUUCCUUAAGUCUGAUGUGAAAGCCCACGGCUCAACCGUGGAGGGUCAUUGGAAACUGGGGAACUUGAGUGCAGAAGAGGAAAGUGGAAUUCCACGUGUAGCGGUGAAAUGCGUAGAGAUGUGGAGGAACACCAGUGGCGAAGGCGACUUUCUGGUCUGUAACUGACGCUGAGGCGCGAAAGCGUGGGGAGCAAACAGGAUUAGAUACCCUGGUAGUCCACGCCGUAAACGAUGAGUGCUAAGUGUUAGGGGGUUUCCGCCCCUUAGUGCUGCAGCUAGCGCAUUAAGCACUCCGCCUGGGGAGUACGGCCGCAAGGCUGAAACUCAAAUGAAUUGACGG